rnacentral:Y_RNA from 1 species
GGCUGGUCCGAUGGUAGUGGGUUAUCAGAACUUAUUAACAUUAGUGUCACUAAAGUUGGUAUUCAACCCCCCACUGCUAAAUUUGACUGACUUAAA